CAGUCGCCACGGUAAUACGGAGGGGGCUAGCGUUGUUCGGAAUUACUGGGCGUAAAGCGCACGUAGGCGGCUUGGUAAGCCAGAGGUGAAAGCCCAGGGCUCAACCUUGGAACUGCCUUUGAUACUGGACAUCUUGAGUAUGGGAGAGGUGAGUGGAACUCCGAGUGUAGAGGUGAAAUUCGUAGAUAUUCGGAAGAACACCAGUGGCGAAGGCGACUCACUGGCCCAUUACUGACGCUGAGGUGCGAAAGCGUGGGGAGCAAACAGGAUUAGAUACCCGCGUAGUCCCUGUCUCUUAUAC
rnacentral:rRNA from 1 species